rnacentral:rRNA from 1 species
AAAUGAAUUGACGGGGCCCGCACAAGCGGUGGAGCAUGUGGUUUAAUUCGACGCAACGCGAAGAACCUUACCAGGGCUUGACAUCCCCUGACCGCGUAUGAAAGUACGUUUUCACCCUCGGGUGACAGGGAGACAGGUGGUGCAUGGUUGUCGUCAGCUCGUGUCGUGAGAUGUUGGGUUAAGUCCCGCAACGAGCGCAACCCCUACGUUUAGUUGCUAACGCGUGAAGGCGAGCACUCUAGACGAACUGCCGUUGACAAACGGAGGAAGGUGGGGAUGACGUCAAAUCAUCAUGCCCCUUAUGUUCUGGGCUACACACGUGCUACAAUGGCCGGUACAGACGGACGCAAAGCCGCGAGGGGGAGCCAAUCCCAAAAAGCCGCUCUCAGUUCGGAUUGCAGGCUGCAACUCGCCUACAUGAAGUCGGAAUCGCUAGUAAUCGCGGAUCAGCACGCCGCGGUGAAUACGUUCCCGGGCCUU